AGUCAUUGCAGUGCGUUGUAGUGUGUAACCUGUCUUGCGCUGUCUCGUCGUGUCCUCCUGUUUUUCUGCUUUCUGGAUUAUGUCCCCUUGGAUUUUUCUGUUGGAUCAUCUUGUUUGUUUGAACUGUACCUGGACUCAGCAACUCAUUAAUAUUGUGCAGGCCAGGAUCCUCUCCACCAGAGUUUAACCUCGCCCAGCCAGCAGACUGCACUAGGCGGCCCACUAAUGGACUGGUGUGGUGCACGGCAGGAGCAGGCGUUCCUAAUGACCCGUAACUGAGCAGCACUGGGCUGUACAGUAAGAGCACUCAGGAGCCUCAUGAAAUCUAACCCCGAUCUGAUUUUGUAACAGCAUGCGCUUCCUCAAUAACAUGGCGUCACUGGUGGGUGUGAAUAAUAGAGAAGCGAGACAGGCUCCAAGCACACAGUCUGACAGCAAUGGUCCUCUCUUUCCACCCUAGUAGUUUUAGUACAUUUAUUACAGUAUCCCCCCACUAGCAUUGUUGACUAGCUAAUAAAAUCUGCUCUGGCUCUGAGAUUUUCAA